UGAGGAAUGUAGCACACCAACCUGAUCCUCUCAAUUCCUGUGCUUAACUUUAAAAGUCUGCAAGUUGAAUAAAUGGCUUUGCAGGAGAGGACAGCUUCUUCCCAGCAAGACAGAGAACAGAUUUGCUGCAUAGCAUGGUGGGAAGAACGUGAAGAGGGCGCUACUGAGUAGGAGGAAGGCUACAGGCGAACACUUCCUCCAGCUGACAGGAAAGAAGAAAGCUAGGAUCUCCCGCUCUCUUUCCCUCGACC